CCUACCUGGUGAAAUAAAUAGUGAGCUGUCCUCCCCUCAGCAGCUGCCACUGGUGUCUCUGUCACCAGAUCUCAAUCUAGUUGUUCACCAAUGAGAUUCUGGAUCAGGCUGCUGGAUCCACCACCAUCAACAAAACACCACAUUUUUGAAAUUAUCAUGGAAGAAUGGUGUCGCAUCCCUCCAGUUCCAGAUACUUGUACUUCUAUGCCUAGGAACAUUGAAGCUGUUCUGGCCGCCGCCCUAUUAAGACGCUUUAUGUUGGUGUUUCCUUUAUAUUGGCAGUUACCUGCUUAGUUAGUAAACUCAUGUUUUCUGGAGUCAUGCAUAAAUUGGACAGAGUUUUGAAAGUGUCAAAUAACUGACUUAAUAAUAGCUGGUCCCUGAUCUUAAGUGAAUUUUAAUGUUGAGACCUUGUCCUUUGCAUUUUUGGGAGUUUUCUUUUCUCCUAUUGAGGCAUCUUAGGGGAGCACUCAAUUAAAAAAAAUUUUUUUUUUUUUUAUAUAAAUGUAGUGCCGGGUGAGACGGGUGUUGAACUACAGAAAAGCAGUGACUAGGUUUCCCAAGUUUACAGUGCAAACGGUAUGUGUCUAGUUCUUUGAUUAGCUUGCUGCUAAUAGUGUGACGUUUGUCCCCUUUGUACAUAGAGCUAUCAUGUCUUUCAGUUGAUUUACCUUAAAGGUUUGAACUUUCAAUCAUGUAAAGGCAAGAUUGAGUAUUCUUUGAGUCUUUUCAGUAGCAUUCACUUGCAAUGGCUUCUCAGUUUUGUUUAGCAUUUUUUCCUGCAUUAAUGCAUGUCAAACAAAUGGAAAUGUAAUAUUUUCUGUUGAAUUAUGCUAUUGGGGCUUCAGACACUUAAAAGAAAAAUAACCACUUGAUUCAUUUGUCAAACAUUUUGGUAGAGAAGAGUAUGCCUGAACAAUGUGUGUUAAAGUCGAAGUUCUCAGUCUUGGCAUGGAAAAUGGAGUGCGGCGCUGACAGCUUUGUUUUGUACUUUUUGCCUUCCUGUUGCUGCCAAAAAUGUAUGAAUGUUUGUGAGAACUCUUAGCUCAAUAUUUUCAUAAUUCUGAAAAAAUAUCACUGCUUUGUAUGGAACACUCGGUGUAAUUUAAAAGUGCACGUGUCUGUCGUUCAUUGGCCCUGAUUUAAUGUAUGUUCUUGAUCACCUUAGGCUUGCCUUUUUUAAAGAUGAAUCUGCAGUCACCCGAUGGCAUUAGGCUACAUCCCAAAGACCCCCCCCCCCCCUCCCAACUAUGGCAAGUCAGAAGUACAAAUCUAGUUUUGCUUUGUCUGCAUUCACAGUAUGCUGAACAUUGAGUCCUCUACACUCACUCACACAAAGGAAAGUUAAUGGCCAAAAGGCAGGUGGAGAAGGCAACCGAUAAGCAUUUGUGAAUCCAUAGUGCAUUCUGAGUGUUACUAAACCAUUCUUUCUCCUUUUGCCAUGGUCUUAAGGACACAGUGAUUUAAAAUGUCUGCAUGCCGUAGGAACACACAAUGUAGCACUCGGACAAAGUCACACGGCCCCUCUCCAUGCACCUUUUCAAGAAAAGUGCCUUACUCAGUUGAACAUAAAUUAAGAUUUGUAUUUUUGUCUUAACUMGAUAGUACACCCAGUAGAUAUUAAAGGGACUCCGGACUUCCAGACCCUUGUAAAGAUUCAAUCAAAGAUGCUUUGAGUGGUGAGCAGCUUUAAAUGUAUUUGUUUUCUCUGUCACACUCGACUUUGGGAGCUUAAACCAGACGGAAGAAUGGGUCAGCUGGCCAGAUUCACAGGCAUGCAAAAUAUGUCAAAUUGUUGCGUUCCAUGACUUGUGUUCCAUGACUUGGCUACAUUCCAACAUAAUUCAAUUUACAUUCUUGACCUGAGAAUGUAGCUGUCUCUGGACAAUGGUGCCCAUUAGUAUUGUAUAUCUCAAACCCAGUUUGCUGAUGUUUACAUGUCUAUGGCUCUGGGGGCAGCCACCAUUUUCUGUGUGAAGCUCUGAAGCUAGAGCUUUUAAAAUUGUUUUUUUUUUUGUUAGUUGCUUUCUAACAAUGUCCACGUCACCUUGAUCUUAGUCCGGUUAAAUAAGAGGUUCUAGGUCUUAUGGAAUGAUUCCUCAGCGUUGCUCUCAUGUGCACAAAGAUACAGAUGAAUAUGUACACAUGCAGUUGCUGUUAUAUUUAGCCAUGAUGCCUGCUACUCUGUUUUAUGCUUGUUUUAUAUCCAUUUUGCCUGGAAUCUUGAUUUGCCUUUCUUUUAUAGUUUUGCCAUUCGAUUGAAGAUGUUAAAUUCAAUAAAGUUUGAAUAUUGUUGAA